GCUGUGGUAGCUCAGUGGUUAUGGCUUUGCGUUGCAGAUAAGGUGGUCAUGUGUUCAAAUCCCAACACCACCA